rnacentral:rRNA from 1 species
UGGGGAAUAUUGGACAAUGGGCGAAAGCCUGAUCCAGCCAUGCCGCGUGUGUGAAGAAGGUCUUCGGAUUGUAAAGCACUUUAUGUUGGGAGGAAGGGUUGUAGAUUAAUACUCUGCAAUUUUGACGUUACCGACAGAAUAAGCACCGGCUAACUCUGUGCCAGCAGCCGCGGUAAUACAGAGGGUGCAAGCGUUAAUCGGAAUUACUGGGCGUAAAGCGCGCGUAGGUGGUUUGUUAAGUUGGAUGUGAAAUCCCCGUGCUCAACCUGGGAACUGAAUUAAAAACUGACUGACUAGAGUAUGGUAGAGGGUGGUGGAAUUUCCUGUGUAGCGGUGAAAUGCGUAGAUAUAGGAAGGAACACCAGUGGAGAAGGCGACCACCUGGACUAAUACUGACACUGAGGUGCGAAGGCGUGGGGAGCAAACAGG